rnacentral:lncRNA from 1 species
GACGAGAGGAACGCGACCUGGAAACCAGUUUCCUUCUCCUUUUUGUGGGGUCCUCUCCUCAGCCACCCGAACCAAGUCCGAAUUUCCUUCCUGAUCAGAGAAGGCGGAGCAAAAGAGAGACCCUGGUUUGUGGCACGUACACACCUCCUUCUCGUACGGAGCCAGCCCCACUACCCCCUCCUCUGCCUCGGCCCCCGGAUUAGGUUACCGUGGUCGGGCAAGGAUUUUUACUGGAUACGAGAAUAACACAGCUGAAAUGCAGAGUAGGGAGCGGAAUCACAGCGUGAUGAGAACCCCAGUGCUGGCUGAGGACCCCAGCUCAGCAAGUUUGACCCUUUUAAAAUAAAACACAGCGAGCAAGGACUUUGGGGAUAUGGAGAAAAAAAAGGCACCCAAAACUCACUCUCAACGGGAAGAUGCGGGAAGUGAACGCGUCCAAGGAGAGAACCCGUAGGAACUGCUACGAAAAGAGCUAUGUAUACUCGCCUUUUCUCCCGGCUCCCACGCCCAACCUCACGGGCCUGGGGUCUUCCCCCCCCCCCCCCGUGUGGAAUGAGCCACCUCUUUGGCAGUGAAAUGUGGUUUGAUUUACCCUUUUCUCUUUGUUUUUUGCUUAUUCAUCUGUCACUGCUUAAAACUCGGAAGGAAACCCGCCCAGGCCAGGAGGAGCGGAGAGCUAUGUGGAGAGUCAAAGAGAGAAGAGAUGCGCUCGGAGAUUACCCAUUCGCACUCCGCCCCCAGCCCCAGCCGCGGCGGGGGUCCCCGGUUUCGAGGGAUGCUGUCCCUCCCUCCGCCCCUACCACCUUAUUCCCAGGCUGAGAAAACCUCUGAUAGUAGCAAGAUAAAAAUUGGAUAGGUAGGGAUGUAGCAGAACUGGGGAGCUGGACCUGGAGAAGACAGGGGAUUUCUGCUUCAGGGUUUAACAAUGCUCACGUGAAAGGGCGGGGGAGGGGGCGGGGUUGGGUAGGAAAGAGCUCCCCUAGAGGGUGGGUUGAAAGGAAUCCCAGUCACCCGGAGCAAGGUCGCACCUCCCUGCUCUCCCUCCUGUCUGUGUAG